UACUUAUGGUCCAUAAUGUCCAUAAUGUUGGUCCAUAAUUACUUAUGGUCCAUAAUGUCCAUAAUGCUGGUCCAUAAUUACUUAUGGUCCUUAAUGUCUAUAAUGUUGGUCCAUAAUUACUUAUGGUCCUUAAUGUCUAUAAUGCUGGUCCAUAAUUACUUAUGGUCCAUAAUGUCCAUAAUGCUGGUCCAUAAUUACUUAUGGUCCUUAAUGUCGGUCCAUAAGUUGUUUAGUGAAAACACGAAUGAGCAACACAGAUGAUGUUUAUUUCAGGUGUCAUCAAUUCAAGGUUUUAUUCUGAUUAGUCGUAUUCAAUAAUUUAAAGAACUAUUCCACUGCUUCUUUUUCAUCAUAAUCAAUAAUCCUGUGAGCUCACAGUUCUCUCGUAAUAAGAAAGUAUUUCCUCAUAAUCACAAAGUAUUUCCUGGUGAUCACAAAGUAUUUCCUGGUCAUCACAAAGUAUUUCCUGGUGAUCACAAAGUAUUUCCUCAUAAUCACAAAGUAUUUCCUGGUGAUCACAAAGUAUUUCCUGGUGAUCACAAAGUAUUUCCUCAUAAUCACAAAGUAUUUCCUGGUGAUCACAAAGUAUUUCUUCCUGAUCACAAAGUAUUUCCUGGUGAUCACAAAGUAUUUCCUGGUGAUCAUCACAAAGUAUUUCCUGGUGAUCAUCACAAAGUAUUUCCUGGUGAUCACAAAGUAUUUCCUGGUGAUCACAAAGUAUUUCUUGGUCAUCACAAAGUAUUUCCUGGUCAUCACAAAGUAUUUCCUGGUGAUCACAAAGUACUUCCUGGUGAUCACAAAGUAUUUCCUCAUAAUCACAAAGUAUUUCUUGGUCAUCACAAAGUAUUUCCUGGUGAUCACAAAGUAUUUCUUGGUGAUCUCAAAGUAUUUCCUGGUCAUCACAAAGUAUUUCCUGGUCAUCACAAAGUAUUUCCUGGUGAUCACAAAGUAUUUCCUGGUCAUCUCAAAGUAUUUCCUGGUCAUCACAAAGUAUUUCCUGGUCAUCACAAAGUAUUUCCUGGUGAUAAUAAAGUAUUUCCUGGUCAUCACAAAGUAUUUCCUGGUCAUCUCAAGUCCUGGUGAUCCUGAGGAGUUCUUUGGCGUAUGCAGAGCAUCACCUGAACAUGUGGUUCAGAGUUAAAGAGCCUGAAGAAGUCCAACAUGGCGGCGCUCAGUGACCAGUCUUCUUCUUGGUGACUCAGGUGAGUUCAGGAAGAUCCUGUCCGCUGAACGGGAUGCUCCACUCGGAUGUAAAAAUCAAGAACCAGGAUGUGUUGUCUUCAUGUCUCAUGUUGUUUAGGUUCUUUUAGUUUCAGCUCACAAAUAAAAAGUGACACAUGGUGAGAAACAAAGUGAGUCCAGUCCAGUUCAGUCCAGUUCAGUUCAGUUCAGUCCUCCUCCUCCUCCUCCUCCUGUCGGACUGGGAGCAGCAGGAGGAGGAGGAGCCUCUCUCUUUGAGGCUAGGCAGAGCUGAGAUACUCCACAGCAACUUCAUAACAGAACUUGUACUGUUCCUGUAGAGACACACAUAUGUCAGAGGUCACUAGAGGGCACAAUAACAAUGUCUGUGUAUGUGUAAAUGUGUGUGUGUCUGUCUGUGUGCAUGUGUGUGUCUGUCUGUGUAUAUAUGUGCGUGCCUCCGUGGACCGGCCUCCUCCCACCCCCCCUCUUCCUCCUUCUGUUUCAUGGAUUGUGGAGGUCUGGAUCGUGGUCCAUGCCUACUACUAAUUAUUCAUACAUUCUGUCAUAUUCAUUGAAUGUUUAUGUAACUCUGUAACGCUGUUCAUCUGGUCACAUGACAUCUGUUGUUCAUCUGGUCACAUGACAUCUAUUGUUCAUCUGGUCACAUGACAUCUAGUGUUCAUCUGGUCACAUGACAUCUGUUGUUCAUCUGGUCACAUGACAUCUAGUGUUCAUCUGGUCACAUGACAUCUAGUGUUCAUCUGGUCACAUGACAUCUAGUGUUCAUCUGGUCACAUGACAUCUAUUGUUCAUCUGGUCACAUGACAUCUAUUGUUCAUCUGGUCACAUGACAUCUAGUGUUCAUCUGGUCACAUGACAUCUAGUGUUCAUCUGGUCACAUGACAUCUAGUGUUCAUCUGGUCACAUGACAUCUAGUGUUCAUCUGGUCACAUGACAUCUAUUGUUCAUCUGGUCACAUGACAUCUAUUGUUCAUCUGGUCACAUGACAUCUAUUGUUCAUCUGGUCACAUGACAUCUAUUGUUCAUGUGGUCAC
rnacentral:lncRNA from 1 species